UAUUAUGAGAGUUUGAUCCUGGCUCAGGACGAACGCUGGCGGCGUGCCUAAUACAUGCAAGUCGAACGCUUCUUUCCUCCCGAGUGCUUGCACUCAAUUGGAAAGAGGAGUGGCGGACGGGUGAGUAACACGUGGGUAACCUACCCAUCAGAGGGGGAUAACACUUGGAAACAGGUGCUAAUACCGCAUAACAGUUUAUGCCGCAUGGCAUAAGAGUGAAAGGCGCUUUCGGGUGUCGCUGAUGGAUGGACCCGCGGUGCAUUAGCUAGUUGGUGAGGUAACGGCUCACCAAGGCCACGAUGCAUAGCCGACCUGAGAGGGUGAUCGGCCACACUGGGACUGAGACACGGCCCAGACUCCUACGGGAGGCAGCAGUAGGGAAUCUUCGGCAAUGGACGAAAGUCUGACCGAGCAACGCCGCGUGAGUGAAGAAGGUUUUCGGAUCGUAAAACUCUGUUGUUAGAGAAGAACAAGGACGUUAGUAACUGAACGUCCCCUGACGGUAUCUAACCAGAAAGCCACGGCUAACUACGUGCCAGCAGCCGCGGUAAUACGUAGGUGGCAAGCGUUGUCCGGAUUUAUUGGGCGUAAAGCGAGCGCAGGCGGUUUCUUAAGU
rnacentral:rRNA from 1 species